UUGAUGACUCGUUCAUUAGUGUUUCGAAAGUCCCAGCAAGCCACAACGUCCAUUGUCCGUCUCAUCAGUAAUCAAACAGACUUCUUACGUCAUAGUUACAGACUUCCCAGCUACAAGUUACAACUUAGCACGGUGUCCUUACACGUGGAAUUGAAACCAUGGUUGAAACAAAAGAGUUAGAAACCAUCCUGUUAGAAACAUGUCAGGAUUCCAAAGUUCCAUAGUUACAAGAAAUAACAUAUAGAUUAUUGGAUUGUUUCUAAUGUGUUGGAUUUCAAAUAUCUGCUGAAGACAUAGUGCUACAAAGAAUUAUUUUUCUGUCAGCCAAUGUUCCCCAGCAUUGGUGCCAUUUCAAAUAGGAAAACCUACAACAAGAAGUCCAGUGUACAGUAACUGUUAAAGCUGCCUCCACCUCCAAUGGAAAACAGGAACUUCCUUAAGUGAUCAAUUUCAAGCAUCAUUCAAAAAUUUGCGAGUUCCAGUUUAUAUGUGAAUACAACACUGGUGGUUGCAGUUCCAUAUCAGGAGACGAGUUGAAUUCUGCACUGAAAACUGAGGAAUCAUCAACCAAUCGAAAGAACAAUCUGUGUCAUUACCUUCAUCUAGAUUCUAGAUGUUUCAGAGCCGAACUGGAUGCGCAAGAUCUUAUUAAACCGGAGUAGCAACUGACAAUAUGGUGGUGACGUCCGCCGAAAGAGGUUGGGGAAAAUGAAUAGUUAAUAACUCUCGUCCAGUGAUCCACCGGCUACUCACAUCUAGCGAUAACGAAAUUUCUGCUUCACUCAGGUCAGUUUUGAGACGAUCCUGCUCGCUGUAGGUCCCAACAGAAUUUGGAUACAAUCAUGGCUAUUUCUUUGCCCGGAAACUUGAAAAGUAUAAAACCAUACCUGGAAAUUGCCGAUGAUUACGAAUCCAAUGAUCCGUGUAUCAGUUACUGGUGCCGAUUAUAUGCUCUUAAGCAAGGAUUUAUCCUGGAGAGAGUAGAAGAGGAUCUUUCGUUUUUGCUUGUUUUAAUCGAUCUUUUGGAAAAGAACAAACAGGAUUUGCAGUCUAAAAUAGAGACCACUGAUAUUCCUGUUGCUCGAGCUCACCUUGAAGAUGCGACCCAGAAGCUGUUAAGCUGGGCAGAAAAUGUGCCGCCUUUGAGAUCAUUAACUAAUGUUGUAGCUGAGGUAUUUCAGUCUGCUGGAAUGCUGCAAGAUGUGUGCUCCGUAUUUGGAAAUCCAAGUGAAGGCCAAUUCGAGAGAAAGAAGUAUACCAACUUACAUGAAGAAAAUUGGCAUAGUGAACUCCAUUCGGCAUCGACUACAAAAAAAUCAAACAUUUACCACCAAUAUAGCAAGAAAUUAUCGGAAAACUUAGUUGAUGGAAUUUCCGAAGAACUUCAGAAUGAUGAGGCAAAGUCACCCAAAGUUGCGAAACAUUACGAACGGAAAAAGAUUUACGGACGCCUUUUCAUUUUACAACUGCUGAAUCAUCCAGUAUCACAGAAAAAGCCGGAAGGCCUGCCCAGUCUGGAAAUUGUUCGAAAUAAGAUGGGACGCAAUCAAAUAAUCGCCGAUAGACUAUUGGGUGUUCAUCAGCAGCAGUAUCAACUAAGAACCAACUUUAAUCCCAAGAAGAUCUGCCUGAUCUACAAGAUAGUUCGCAAAGAUCGUGAAGAGCAAAAGAUGGAGUUAAACAACCCACUAUCCCAGGAACCCUCUAGUCCCUUGGGUGGUCGUUCUCGUGGCGGUUCCAGUGACUAUCGCUGGAAUUCCGAUCAGAAUAGCAGUAGUAGAGGCGGCAGCAAAGAACGUUGGAUACCUAAGGCGUCUAGAGAUGCUGAUCAAAUAGGAGGUAAAGGCGUCACUUCUUGGCGUCGAGUAGCCUCAAGUGAUACGGCUCAAUCGUUGAUCGGUGGCGUUGGUGGUUGUAAACAAAAAAUGAACUCCGGUUUCUUUGGUUUACGUAGUCAACCGCCUUCUUGUGAAAACUCCGUUACUCGUCCCGUCUUUCGCGAAACGGCUCGACCAUCAACGCUAUCACGCGAAGAUGUUUUUUUUGGUAAAUCUACCGUGACAGACGAACAGAUUGAGCGAAAAUCUCGUUCGAUUCUAGGUGAAUAUUUCACGAAUGAGAAAAUUGAAGAUGCUGUUUUCAACAUGAAGGAAUGGCUGCAUCCAUCGACCAUAGCCAGAUUUAUCAACCAAUGCUUGCUGCACGUACUAAAACAUAAUAAACAAGAACGAAGAGCGACAGGCGCUUUGUUGAAGGAAAUGGUUAAAAGAAAACUGUUUAAUUCCUCUGACCUUGUGGAAGGAUUUACUGAACUCUUCCAAUCGGCUGAAGACUUCAUUGUGGACAUUCCCAAGUUGUGGGAAUAUUUGGCUGAGCUGGUUGAACCUCUGUUCGAAGAAGGCGUGAUGAAUUUGAAGUUUCUUUCGAAGUUAUCAUUGACCCUGAGUUCAUCUUUGGUUGUCAAUUUUGUAGCUGCAGUUCUGAAGGAAUUAGUCAGAGUACAGGGUGUGACUGGAGCUGAAAGAAUACUUAUCAUGUCGAAUGCACCAUUAACCAGUGUUCUACCAUCUUCUGUGGAUCUGAAUUCGUUCCUCGCCCAACAUACGGAACUCGAAUUCCUUUCCAAAAUUCAUUCUACACCAAGGGGCAGUGGCAGUGUUGGCAAUUCCAUCAGUAGUGCAACUCCCGCCAGUCAAGUUAACAUCGAAUUCCAGCACAGCCUAGAGAAAUACUUGAGAGACGCGACCCAAUUGACUACAGACAACAUCUGUAGCUGGAUUCAGAAACAAUAUGUUGGUGAAGUGAAUUCCGCUUUCGUUCGUGCCUUGGUCACCGCGGUAACGGAGAAUGCUAUUGAAGGAAGUGGUAAGGACAGUAAACUGAACAACACUGUCUUGAAAAAUCGGACGAAGGUGUUAAGGAGGUAUGUUGACAAUAUCGCUGAUCGUGAGCUUCAACUGCUUUUCGCAGUUCAGGCUUUAGUGACCCAACGACAACAUCCCAAAGGUUUAAUUCAAGGCAUCUUCGAGACUCUCUAUGACAGUAACGUCGUUUCUGAAGAGAGCUUUGAAUCGUGGGCGUGUACUGAUGAUCCUUUGGAACGUGAAGACAAAGCUGUGGCUCUCCAGAUGAUGAAAUCUUUUUUUACGUGGCUGAAGGAAGCUGACCCUGAAAGCGAUGAAGAUGAAUAUGCCUGACCUUAUUAAAAGCAUAUGGAGGAGCAAUUGUUUGAGUGCAUCAUGUGAGUGAAAAGGGGGGUUAGGCCAGACCCUGGAAACGUGUAACUGGGAAAGGGGACCUAGUGUUGGUAGAUUCCCCCCCCCCCUUAAAGAAUGGAUUUUUUUUGUAUGUGUGUAAGAAAAAUUGCAUGAUUUACGUACGCUGGAUAAGAAACAGAAACCAGUAAUUUCAUUGAUGUACUUUCGCUAAUUGAAAUGGACAAGUAAUUCCUUUGGAACGUUCCACUCCUUCUCUCUGGUUUUCUCCCACGUGAAAGACGCUCAGUUUACAAAUUCUGUGAACGUGGGGGUUUUGUUAUUAAAUAUAAAGAUUAGCGAAUUGAAAGUUUUCAAUCCAGCAGUGACCAACUUGUAUAAAGACAGUUCCAGUGUUCCAGCGUCAACGCACGAUAAAACGGAAGGCCCACCGCUCGACAUUGGGUUCAAGAAAACCUCACCAUAAUCCGGCUGUGGAAUUUCCUCAAAUCAAACAUCGCGUGCAUCUCUGAUUGUUUCACAGCGCUCUCUUGCUAUACUGCUGUCCGGGUGGAUAGGUUCUCCAGGAAAAAUGUGGAGCUGGAUUGCUACUCACGUGAAGGAUGAUGUGUGCUGUAGCUGGACGAUUUCUUCAAACAGACAGGUUCAUUUUACAGUCGAUCCUCAUCAACAUCUUCGGCUUCCUCAUCACUUCCAUGGACGAUAUUUUAACAGCUGUAGCCAACCGGGCAAUCAUACUCUGUCUAAAGUAAAACUGUAUUUGAGAGUCCAGUCGAGCCUCUUGGAGAAUUGAUUGAAACGGAAGGUCUCAAGGCCAAUCAAAUGAGAUUGCGUUAAUCGACCUAACUGCAACCAAGAAGCUUGAUUCGAUCGGGUUAACAUGUCAACAUAUCGCUUUAAUCUUUUUGAAUCGGAGGAUCGGAUCGAUCGGUGACUAAUCUAAUAAUUCGUGCUGGCGAGUGAGGAGCAAAUUUUAAAUUUACAAGUAAAACGGAAUCGCAUAGUAUUUAAGGGAAAACAGUUGUUGUUGUUCUUUUUCUUUUGUAUGAUUUGGUUUUUGGUUUGAGUUUUCGAGUAACAAGUAACAACCCGAUCAAUAACCAACGCUUCUACGCAGAAGACUCUUUCUCCGACGUCGACGAUAGAUUUAAAGGAAGACCGGAUUCGAUGGAUUAUGCCUACAACAACGGAAUGGCAGAUCCCAUGCAACAACAACUACAGGGCAUGAACGUACAACAACAACAACCGAAUUUCAACGGUGGAACGGGUGGACCCAUCCACAAUUUGCCCAUGAACAAGACGACGAGAGGCUUGCCGCCCGUCAUCCAACAGCAACAGCAGCAACAUCCCGGUCAACCUCCCCUCAACAACAUGAUGAUGAUGAACGCCGAUGCCAACAACCACCUUUACGGUCACGCCAACAACGUUGCCGCGCCCCAACAAGCGACGACAGCGCCAACUUCCGCACCCCUGUCUUCUCACUUUUCCUUUUUCGGGAUAAGCGGCAACAACCAGCAGCAACAACAGCAGCAGCAACAACAAUCAACAGGGCCCAGUAUCAUCCAGAAGAUGAUGGGCGGCGGUGGAGGCUCUGCCACCGCGGCCGCUCCGACGACGACGACGUCCGGCACGACGGAAAAUCCAGUCGAGGGCCUUUUAUUCAAAGGAAAAGAUUUGAUAUUCAAGAAAUUCGGCCUCUAAUGAAAACAUUUAGUAACAAUAACCUUUUUGCACAACAACAACAACCAACUCUGCCAUAAUAAUCGAUUCGAGCUGAAAUAAUCCCCUUCAAAAAUGAAACCAAAAAUGGAUAGCGCGAAAAACAAUUGAAUUUUGACGAGCCAAAUGGAUGAGGUCAAACACUUUUUUUUAAAUUGCAAAGUUUCCCCAAAAGUUUUGUGGAUGUAAGAUAUAAAAAUACGCACACACACCUCCUGUCUGUCUUGAAUCUUUCUCUUUAACUUUCUCGUGUACAGUUCUAGCAAAAAAAAAGGUUUUUUUGGGGGGGUUCCAAGUAAUUAAAAUUUGUUCAUUCAAAUUGAGGAAGAAAUUUAUGGAUAAAUUAAAUUUUGUUUUAAUUUUGUCCACCCAACAUUUUUUUGUGUGUCUGUGUGAGCCCUGUACAUACAUAAACUUCAACUAUAGACCUUAUUCCAAUGAAAAGGUAUGGGUCAAGCCGACCCCUUUGCGUCGCGUUGCAGUGUGAAGGGGUGCCGUGAACAGAAGAUUUUUAUUUGGCUCGCCCCACAGUACAUGGAUAUUAGGCUUGUCGGGUUAAUCGUGCCCGAGGGAAGAAUAGGGAGGAAAGGAAAGUCUAGUCUGGUCCCCUCUUUUUUUCAUUCUUUCCUUUUUAUUUUAUACCUUUUCAUUGGAAUAAGGUCUAUAUAGGAAUUGUCGCCUGGCGGGAAAUUUAAAAAUUUUUCAAUUAAUUUUGUUUUUUCAAAUUUUUUGGGGGAUUUUUCUUUGGCCGGCAGUAAUUUGCUUUUCCCCAUUAAAAAUUUUAAAUUCGUGUUAAAUUCAACAUCAAGCCUCCCCUUUAAAGAAAAAAGAACGGUCAUUCUCGACCGCCAUCUCUCUCUCUCUCUUUAUUAUUGCAUUAUUAUUACAAUAUUCGUUAUGGUUAUAAUCUAUAUCUUUACAUAUAAUUCUCCAUAUUAUGUGUAACUGUACAAAAGGCAUACAAAAAGGAAACAAAAAAACAAACAAAAUGGCAAAGCAAA
rnacentral:misc_RNA from 1 species